UGCAAAAGUGCUUAUUACAAGGGGGGCGAAUCCACUUGCCGUAGACAAAGAAGGAAACACUCCUUUUAAGCUUGCACCUGAACCUGACCCUGUUGACAAAGAUACUGUUCCUCAAAACCAGGAAACGACACCCCCUCAAAACUCACCAGAAAAAUGAUUCACGCACACCUUGUGUGUUAAUAUGAGACUGAAGAGAUAAAAAGAUACAAGAGAGAGAUAGAUGAUUCGAUGUAACAGGAAAGCUUCAAACAAAUGAAAAGUAUCAAUUAGGUGAUUCAUCAGUUUUGUUUACAGCAAUGUAUUUAUUCAAGUUUGAAC
rnacentral:sRNA from 1 species